CUGCCGAGGGGAGUGAGUAAGGCCAUUCCCAGCCUGCGUGUGUCUCCAGAGAAGCAUAUUAGUUGAAAAUACAACAAACAAAAAUCAUUGUCCAGUGAACUUACCAAUCACAGAGCAGCACACUGUAUGGAUCAGGGGUCUGGGCCCAAGUCCUGACUGAGUGACCUUGGGCAAGUCACCUUGUGCCUCUGGGCCUCAGUUUCCUCACCUGUAAAAAGAAUUGGAAAUGCUUUUCACCUUUGAGCACUGGAAAGAGUUAGUCACAUUUACUCAAGGAAGCUGAGACGAGAUUCUUUGUGCUACUCAACAUGGUUUUUCACAAAGUUCU